ACGUUAUUGGAGGAUAGAGGAUUGAGUAAGAGAGCCCAAAAAUUUGAUUGGAGGAGCCGACUCCGGAUGUGCUUGACUGAACACUGAUUGGAGAACAAGGGGUCAGGAAGAGCAGUUCCGCACGAGGAUUGGGCGGUGGCGUGUCCCAUGGAAACGGAAUCCAGAACUGCAGCCAGGGUUUUUCACGGGGGCGGAGCCGGCUCUUCCCCAGGCGCCUGCGCCUAACCGGUUCCCCGGCGCCAUUUUGUCCCGGCAGCAGCAGCCCGCAGCUCUAUCCCAUUUUCUGUGUCUGGAGGGAAGGACGCGGACUCUCUCGGAGUUGUGCUGAAGACAACAGACACCUCCAUGACAACCCAAAGUAUCACAGAGGAAAUGAAAAGCUGUGGACUCAUUCAAAGUUAAUUAAGAUUAGGUAUGACCAUGGAAGACUUGUGUAUGACCAUGGAAGACUUCUAGAGAAUCUUGACUGGUGAUGUGGAAAAAGAGACCCAGAAGAACAAAAAAACAGAGGCUCUGCUAAAGCCUUGCUGUAUAGUACAAGAGAGCACCUUAGUUACAAGGAUGAAAAGAUGGCUUUCUGAAGAGGAACAAGUACUACCAAUCACAAACUAUGAAAGGUGCCAAAGGGUUGACUUCCAACAGGAACUUCAAAGACUAUUUCAGCAACAGACCCUGGAUUGUACCAUACUCAAACUAUUUAAAGGAAUUACUUUCACUUUCCAAUGUAAUAUGGUUCUUAACUGACUUAAAAAAGGAAGACUGCUUCAUAACAGAAGGUAAAUGAAGAGAGAUGAGUCUUGGUAAGAAUGGGAAUAGUAAGAAACAAAAUCCCUUUGUGAGAGAUUAUAGGCACCAUCUUUUAUUAUGAUAGAACCCAGAUUUUUUUCCUUGUUUGUAUUAUCAAAUGCAAAACCUGAAAGAUACUAUUACAUAAAGAACCAUAUUCAGC
rnacentral:lncRNA from 1 species